GUGAACGCUGGCGGUAGGCCUAACACAUGCAAGUCGCACGGCAGCACAGUAAGAGCUUGCUCUUACGGGUGGCGAGUGGCGGACGGGUGAGGAAUACAUCGGAAUCUACUUUUUCGUGGGGGAUAACGUAGGGAAACUUACGCUAAUACCGCAUACGACCUACGGGUGAAAGCAGGGGAUCUUCGGACCUUGCGCGAUUGAAUGAGCCGAUGUCGGAUUAGCUAGUUGGCGGGGUAAAGGCCCACCAAGGCGACGAUCCGUAGCUGGUCUGAGAGGAUGAUCAGCCACACUGGAACUGAGACACGGUCCAGACUCCUACGGGAGGCAGCAGUGGGGAAUAUUGGACAAUGGGCGCAAGCCUGAUCCAGCCAUACCGCGUGGGUGAAGAAGGCCUUCGGGUUGUAAAGCCCUUUUGUUGGGAAAGAAAAGCAGCAGGUUAAUACCCCGCUGUUCUGACGGUACCCAAAGAAUAAGCACCGGCUAACUUCUUG
rnacentral:rRNA from 1 species